CAGGGGAUAUUUUAUCAUAAAAUAUUAGUUUUGGGUAUUAAUGAAAAGAGUUAUUUCUUUCCUCUGA
rnacentral:tRNA from 1 species